rnacentral:rRNA from 1 species
AGUGAACGCUGGCGGUAGGCCUAACACAUGCAAGUCGUACGGCAGCACAGUAAGAGCUUGCUCUUACGGGUGGCGAGUGGCGGACGGGUGAGGAAUACAUCGGAAUCUACUUUUUCGUGGGGGAUAACGUAGGGAAACUUACGCUAAUACCGCAUACGACCUACGGGUGAAAGCAGGGGAUCUUCGGACCUUGCGCGAUUGAAUGAGCCGAUGUCGGAUUAGCUAGUUGGCGGGGUAAAGGCCCACCAAGGCGGCGAUCCGUAGCUGGUCUGAGAGGAUGAUCAGCCACACUGGAACUGAGACACGGUCCAGACUCCUACGGGAGGCAGCAGUGGGGAAUAUUGGACAAUGGGCGCAAGCCUGAUCCAGCCAUACCGCGUGGGUGAAGAAGGCCUUCGGGUUGUAAAGCCCUUUUGUUGGGAAAGAAAAGCAGCAGGUUAAUACCCCGCUGUUCUGACGGUACCCAAAGAAUAAGCACCGGCUAACUUCGUG